GACGAACGCUGGCGGCGUGCUUAACACAUGCAAGUCGAACGGAAAGGCCCUGCUUUUGUGGGGUGCUCGUGUGGCGAACGGGUGAGUAACACGUGAGUAACCUGCCCUUGACUUUGGGAUAAAUUCAGGAAACUGGGGCUAAUAUCGGAUAGGAGCUCCUGCUGCGUGGUGGGGGUUGGAAAGUUACGGCGGUUGGGGAUGGACUCGCGGCUAAUCCGCUUGUUGGUGGGGUAGUGGCUUACCAAGGCUUUGACGGGUAGCCGGCCUGGGAGGGUGACCGGCCACAUUGGUACUGAGGUACGGCCCAGACUGCUACGGGAGGCAGCAGUGGAGAAUAUUGCACAAUGGGCGGGAGCCAGAUGCAGCAACGCCGCGAGCGGGAUGACGGCCUACGGGUUGUGAACCGAUUUCGCCUGUGACGAAGCGAGAGUGACGGUAAUUGGUAAAGAAGCACCGGCUAACUACGUG
rnacentral:rRNA from 1 species